GACGAACGCUGGCGGCGUGCUUAACACAUGCAAGUCGAACGGAAAGGCCCUGCUUUUGUGGGGUGCUCGAGUGGCGAACGGGUGAGUAACACGUGAGUAACCUGCCCUUGACUUUGGGAUAACUUCAGGAAACUGGGGCUAAUACCGGAUAGGAGCUCCUGCUGCAUGGGGGGGGUUGGAAAGUUUCGGCGGUUGGGGAUGGACUCGCGGCUUAUCAGCUUGUUGGUGGGGUAGUGGCUUACCAAGGCUUUGACGGGUAGCCGGCCUGAGAGGGUGACCGGCCACAUUGGGAGUGAGAUACGGCCCAGACUCCUACGGGAGGCAGCAGUGGGGAAUAUUGCACAAUGGGCGGAAGCCUGAUGCAGCAACGCCGCGUGCGGGAUGACGGCCUUCGGGUUGUAAACCGCUUUCGCCUGUGACGAAGCGUGAGUGACGGUAAUGGGGAAAGAAGCACCGGCUAACUACGU
rnacentral:rRNA from 1 species